AGCAGCCGCGGUAAUUCCAGCUCCAAUAGCGUAUAUUAAAGUUGUUGCAGUUAAAAAGCUCGUAGUUGAAUUUCGGGGUCAGUAGGUCGGUCGUGCCACUGGUAUGAACUGGUUUUACUGAUUCCUCCCUCUUGAAGAACUGUAAUGCCAUUAAUUUGGUGUUGCAGGGAAUCAGGACUGUUACUUUGAAAAAUUAGAGUGCUUAAAGCAGGCUUUAGCUUGAAUACAUUAGCAUGGAAUAAUGAAAUAGGACGUUUGAUCCUAUUUUGUUGGUUUCUAGGAUUGACGUAAUGAUUAAUAGGGAUAGUUGGGGGCAUUAGUAUUCAAUUGUCAGAGGUGAAAUUCUUGGAUUUAUUGAAGGCUAACUACUGCGAAAGCAUUUGCCAAGGAUGUUUUCAUUAAUCAAGAACGAAAGUUAGGGGAUCGAAGACGAUCAGAUACCGUCGUAGU
rnacentral:rRNA from 1 species